AGAUGUGCCGUUCGACGUUACGCGCGACUUUAAUUAUGGUCCGCAGAUUUAUUCGCAAAUGUGAGUCACGGCGCCGUUGCAUUGUACUUGAUAUUUGAACGAGAACGAGAGGACGCACUUGGAAACAAAUGACGGGAGGGGGAAGGAAGGAGAUAGAAUUUAUGUAUUUGCAGCGCGAAAUUAAACAGGUGCCAUCAUACCAGCACUAAUGCACCGGAUCCCAUCAGAACUCCGCAGUUAAGUGUGCUUUGGUGAAAGUAGUACAAUGAUGGGUUACCUCGUGGGAAGUUCUCGUGUUGCACCCAUUUUCUUUUUUUUCAGAUGUGCCGUUCGACGUUACGCGCGACUUUAAUUAUGGUCCGCAGAUUUAUUCGCAAAUGUGAGUCACGGCGCCGUGGCAUUGUACUUGAUAUUUGAACGAGAACGAGAGGACGCAAUUGGAAACAAAUGACGGGAGGGGGAAGGAAGGAGAUAGAAUUUAUGUAUUUGCAGCGCAAAAUUAAACAGGUGCGAUUAUACCAGCACUAAUGCACCGGAUCCCAUCAGAACUCCGUAGUUAAGUGUGCUUGGGCGAGAGAAGUACUCGGAUGGGUGACCUCCUUGGAAGUCCUCGUGUCGCACUAAUUUUUUUUUCAGACGGGUCGUUUGACGUUACGCGCGACUGGAACUAGGGUCCACUGGUUUAUACGCAAAUGUGAGUCAAGAAGCAAGGGCAUUUUGAUCGAUAUUAGAACGAGAAGGAUGGAUGCAGAGUGCACGCACAAGGGAACAAAUGACGGGAGGAGGAAGAAAGGGGAAUGAGUUUAUGUAUUUGCAGCGCAAAAUUUAACAGGUGCGAUCAUACCAGCACAAAUGCACCGGAUCCCAUCAGAACCCCGCAGUUAAGUGUGCUUUGGUGAAAGUAGUACAAUGAUGGGUUACCUCGUGGGAAGUUCUCGUGUUGCACCCAUUUUCUUUUUUUUAGAUGUGUCGUUCGACGUUACGCGCGACUUUAAUUAUGGUCCGCAGAUUUAUUCGCAAAUGUGAGUCACGGCGCCGUGGCAUUGUACUUGAUAUUUGAACGUGCAAUGCGCACGCACUUGGAAACAAAUGACGGGAGGGGGAAGGAAGGAGAUAGAAUUUUUGUAUUUGCAGCGCGAAAUUAAACAGGUGCGAUCAUACUAGCCCUAAUGCACCGGAUCCCAUCAGAACUCCGCAGUUAAGUGUGCUU
rnacentral:lncRNA from 1 species